GUGCUCGCUUUGGCAGCACCUAUACUAAAUUGGAAUGAUACAGAGAAGAUUAGCAUGGCCCCAGCACAAGGGUGACAUGCAAAAAGACCUAAGAUCAACUCUC